rnacentral:rRNA from 1 species
UGCUUCCUGUUUUCUUAUAGGAAGUAAUUCCUGCCCAGUGACUAAAGUUCAACGGCCGCGGUAUCCUAACCGUGCAAAGGUAGCAUAAUCACUUGCCCAUUAAUUGUGGGCUAGAAUGAAAGGACUAACGAAAUAAAAACUGUCUCUAUAAGUUAUCUAAAAAUUAAUCUCUAACUGAAGAAUGUUAGAUAUCGUCGAAGGACAAGAAGACCCUAUAGAGCUUCAUUUAAAUAAAAUUUAAACAAUUUUUAUAAAAUUCGGUUGGGGCGACCGGGGAAAACAGUCAAUCAUCCCUUACUAAUAGAUAAAUUAAUCACACUUUUGACCCUUAAUAAAGAUCACUAAACCAAGCUACCUUAGGGAUAACAGGCUAAUCUCACUAAAGAGUCCUUAUCAAUAGUGGGGUUUGGCACCUCGAUGUUGGCUUAGGGAAUCCUUACGGCGCAAAAGUCGUAUAAUGAUGGUUUGUUCAACCAAUAAUACCCU